rnacentral:RNase_P_RNA from 15 species
AGAGUCGAUUGGACAGUCGCUGCCCUCUAUGAAAAUUAGGGGGGGGAGGAAAGUCCGGGCUCCAUAGGGCGAAGUGCCAGGUAAUGCCUGGGAGGCGUGAGCCUACGGAAAGUGCCACAGAAAAUAACCGCCUAAGCACUUCGGUGCCGGUAAGGGUGAAAAGGUGCGGUAAGAGCGCACCGCACGGCUGGCAACAGUCCGUGGCUAGGUAAACCCCACUUGGAGCAAGACCAAAUAGGGUCCCAAGGCGUGCCGCGCUGACAGG